rnacentral:rRNA from 1 species
UACGGAGGGUGCGAGCGUUGUCCGGAAUCACUGGGCGUAAAGGGCGCGUAGGUGGCGCGGGCAGUCAACGGUGAAAGUUCGGGGCUCAACCCUGAAUCGGCCGUCGAUACUCCCGUGCUUGAGCACUGUAGAGGCAGAUGGAAUUCCGGGUGUAGCGGUGGAAUGCGUAGAGAUCCGGAAGAACACCGGUGGCGAAGGCGGUCUGCUGGGCAGUAGCUGACACUGAGGCGCGACAGCGUGGGGAGCGAACGGG